GGAUAAUGCAAGUGUUUAACAGAUGCUUCACUAUUAAAAUAUUUCCCCCCCAAGUCUCAAAUAUUGAAGAAUCUCUAACCAGGUACAGUAUCACUCUGCUCUCUUUUCUGGUUGAAAAGAAAGAAAGAAAACGCAGGUAUUGCUUUUCGAAGUGCUUUGUAGGUAAUCGAGGGACACCAGUCCCUACGAAGACCUUGGGCGAUUUUGAAGUGCGGGCACCUCGAUUCCCCGAAUCUGUAGUGUGGCUGGUAUCGGUGUUCCCCUGGUUUAACUAGCCUGUUUGAAGGCACAGAUCAUUCAUGGGGAAGUAUAACCGAAACCAGUCCUCUCCACCCCCUGGGGAUCUUCACUUUCCCAGUCUACAACUGCCUGUGACUCCAGAAAGACAAACUGCAGAUUGGCCAAGGUUCCUGACAGUCACUGAGCUAUACGCAAUAAUAAAGUGCGUGAUUCGCGUGUGGAAACCAGUGUCGUGUCCUUACCAGCUUCCUUUUCUGUCCACCUUCCCUCUCUCUUCUACCUCCGUUUCGCUUUUCUUCAGUGCAUGUUAGCGGUUUGCUGGAUUUCCCUUCUCCCUCGCUGUUCAACUGCUAGCAUGAUUUGUUACAUUUUCCACAGCUGUUUAUUCUUGUUUGACUUUUUGUACAAAGUCACUUUAAAUCUGCUGCAGAAAGAAUAAAGCUCCUAGCCCUUUGGAUGGACUCCUGCAGGCGUGUGGCUGUCCCUGGCCCACUUUUAAUUCUUUGGAGAUGGCUCUUCUGUGUAAAUCAGCUGUUGGGUGCGUUCGGUCACCUCGUAGGCCAGCCUAGUUUGUAUCAGCAGAACAGUAGUGGACUCAACUCAGGUCGUAAGCUUUAUAUUUCACAGACAAUUAAAUCUUGGCUGCUGUUGAACAAAACUGUAGUAUUUACUUUAUUCUAUACCGAGGAGCACUUUUAAAGUAAAAAAGAAAAAAAACAAAUACUACACUUCAAAAAGAAAAUAUGACAAUGAAUCUCUUUUUAUGGAUUCUCUCUGCAUAAGUGGAAAUAAUAUGAUUUAAAUCCCCAACACCCCAUCCCCCUUUUCAGACACAGCUGAAGUGAUACAGAUACUGUCUUCUAACACAUAAUCUCCCUCUCUCGGGAGAGGCACCUGCCUGUGCUACAUUCGAUUUAGUUUGUAAGGUUUCAGGCCCCUCCCCGACCCAUGUAAUAUGUAGCAAGGAUUAUCAAAUAACAAGGUCUUGGAUGUGAAGUCUGCUUUACACAAGAAUUCAAGAAAGAUAGGCAGGACUUGAGUAAUUAUGUUACAACUUCAUAUUACUUUCCAAAUGAAUACCCAUUUUCUUCUCAUGUCAACUUCUAGAGAUGGGAUGCUGAGGCAGAGAAAUAUUUUUAUGGAUUCUGGAGUACAUACUAAAAUGUGCUUCCUUAUUAUUUAAGAAUGUGUAAGGUAUGGACCUACAUUUGUUUGCUGGUGGUCAUAAAAUAAAUUCAUAGCCAUUGUUGCCAAUCAGCAAUCUCCUUCACGCUUUAAAAGUUUUUGGUUUAUAAUCCCACCUGGAUUGUAUUUUCACUAUUCCGUAUCACCCUCCUAUUGCAAUAUUUUGGUUCUCAAUCUUAUGUAAAGCAAACCUCAGAAAUGAUCGUUUCCAUAAAAUUGUGCAAUGGCAAAGCCACGGAAUAAUAUUUUGAGUCCAUAUAGCCGUGCAUGCUCAUCUAUAUAGCUCUUAUACAGUUUUCUAGCUAACUGAUUGCUUUGGUAUUUCAAGAAAUAGGAAGCAGUAACUACCUAUUUGAAUGAAAGGGUACCAUUUCAUAAGAAUUCUAUUUUCACUGAAAAAAUUGGUCUGGCACAUUAUUCAAUGCAAAAGAUUAUAAUAUUACUUUCACGUGUGUUAAUCUGUUUAGUAUAAAACUGCUAGGGUGUCUUAACCAUUAACGCGUUUUGCCACACCACUUUCAAAUGGUGAUCUGAGAUAAUUACGAAGAUUUUGAUGUUAAUCCCACGUUAAAUGAACAACUAUGAAAAUAAUCUUGAAGCAUUAUUACUCCCAUAUACAUGCCAGCCAACCCAAUUGUGGAGAGAACAUGAUUACUUUUUAUCUGACAUUAUCCUAUAAGGAUAUGGCUACGUUUAUUUCUUUUAAAAUUGGAGCAGUUUUCAAUGACUUUUUAACAGAAUUGUUUUCAACACAGCAUUUUGCAGUGCCCAUAAACCAUAGCAACUUUGUCCUGAUCAAUACAUAUUUUUCUGCAUUAUUAUUCAUUAGCCUCUUUGCAAACUCACUAAAAUAGAAUAGUAGUAAAAUACGAACAUAUAGAGAACAAUUAUUAGGUUCUACAUAUUUAUUUAGGUAAACCAAUGUUAUAAAAAUUAAAAACAUGUGCCUGACAUAUAAGUGCUUCUUCAGGAAUUCUUUUUUGGAUGCAUAGUUAUUAUUUUUUAAACAAACUCAGAUUUUCAAACACUGAUUUUCUUCUCUGAACAGGCAUUGCAUUGUUUUAAACAGUAGCUCCUGGAAUAAUGCCACCUUUAGUAUUUUAGACUUUCAAACAACAAUUGGAAUUGGAUAAAUGCUUUCAGCUGGGAGCACUUUCCUAAUACCUUUGUAGGUAAUGGGAUUCUCUAUUUGUGCUGGGUGACAAACGGACAGUACCCUGGACAGACUGCCUACCCUCUGCAGAAUCUACCAAAAAGUAGAGUUUUCCCAUGAGACUGCUUGUGGUCCAUCUAAAAAUGGAAAAAAAAAAUCAGAGAAAAUGCGCAAGGCCUUUACUAACUACAGUUAUGAAAUGAUGGCUUAAAGAGGUAUUUAGAAAAUAAGAGUGGAGUAAUACAGAAACAAAAUCUGAAGAAGAAAGUUUGCUUAGGAGCUGAUGCUCUUUGUCUACAAACAAGAGGGUAAGGAGCUGGAUCCAAUUGAAUUGAAUUGUUUUUGUUUGCUUGUUUGUUUUCUUCCAUUCAGUGCCUUUCAAACUGCUUUUUACUGGAUGAAGAAACUCAACCAAGAAAAUAUAUGUCAAUUCUUGUAUAUGGGACAAUAUUAGCUGCUGUGAUUUUUAAUACUAGCAUAAAAUAUAAGAAUCUUUUUAUUACUGUGAUAUUGUUUUUUCCUAAAUGAAUGCAUAGUGUAACAAUUGGUGUCAAAAAGCACUGAAUUUUUUUCAGAUGGAUUAAGCUGGAAUAAUAAAGUAUAUCUAUGAGAUGAUUUCUGUAAACUCUGACUUGCUGAGAAAAAAGUGAAAAAGCUUUUUCUGGAAGAAACAUGGCAACUUAACCAUUAUUAAUCUGGACUAAACAAAACAGGAAACUGCUUCUUUACAUUUCUAGUAAUUUUUUCUGCUUUUCCAAACAUUGUUAAGUUCUAUGCAACUUGUGCUAUUCAAGUAAAGAUGAUGUCAGUAAUAAAAUGACAGAAUCUA
rnacentral:antisense_RNA from 1 species